ACGGGGUGCAGCAGGCGCGAAAACUUCACACUGUGCGAAAGCACGAUGAGGGAAUCCCAAGUGCCAGCUCGUAAGAGUUGGCUGUUUUUCUGUUUAAAGUGCAGAGAGAGUAAGAGCUGGGUAAGACGGGUGCCAGCCGCCGCGGUAAUACCUGCAGCUCAAGUGGUGGCCGCUAUUAUUGGGCCUAAAACGUCCGUAGCCGGUUUAGUAAAUGCCUGGGUAAAUCGUGUAGCUUAACUAUACGAAUUCUGGGUAGACUGCUAAACUUGGGACCGGGAGAGGCUAGAGGUACUCCUGGGGUAGAGGUGAAAUUCUGUAAUCCUGGGGGGACCACCAGUGGCGAAGGCGUCUAGCUAGAACGGGUCUGACGGUGAGGGACGAAGCCCUGGGGCGCGAACCGGAUUAGAUACCCGGGUAGUCCAGGGUGUAAACGCUGCUUGCUUGAUGUUAGUCGGGCUCCGAGCCCGAUUAGUGUCGGAGAGAAGUUGUUAAGCAAGCUGCCUGGAAGUACGUCGCAAGAC
rnacentral:rRNA from 1 species